rnacentral:rRNA from 1 species
GACGAACGCUGGCGGCGUGCUUAACACAUGCAAGUCGAACGGAAAGGCCCUGCUUGCAGGGUGCUCGAGUGGCGAACGGGUGAGUAACACGUGGGUGAUCUGCCCCUUACUUUGGGAUAAGCCUGGGAAACUGGGUCUAAUACUGGAUAGGACCAUGCUGUAGGUGGUGUGGUGGAAAGAUUAGUUUCGGUAAGGGAUGAGCUCGCGGCCUAUCAGCUUGUUGGCGGGGUAAUGGCCUACCAAGGCGUCGACGGGUAGCCGGCCUGAGAGGGUGGACGGCCACAUUGGGACUGAGAUACGGCCCAGACUCCUACGGGAGGCAGCAGUGGGGAAUAUUGCACAAUGGGCGCAAGCCUGAUGCAGCGACGCCGCGUGGGGGAUGACGGCCUUCGGGUUGUAAACUCCUUUCAGCCAUGACGAAGCCCUUGUGGUGACGGUAGUGGUAGAAGAAGCACCGGCUAACUACGUG